rnacentral:tRNA from 1 species
GAGAGAGGCCUGUGGCAACGGAAACUGCUAAUUUUCGGCACUUCGGUUAGAUUCCGGGGCUCACUCG